rnacentral:rRNA from 1 species
GACGAACGCUGGCGGCGUGCUUAACACAUGCAAGUCGAACGGAAAGGCCUGCUUUCCCUUGUGGAUUGCGGGUACUCGAGUGGCGAACGGGUGAGUAACACGUGAGUGAUCUGCCCCCAACUUGGGUAUAAGCCUGGGAAACUGGGUCUAAUUCCCGAUAGGACUGCAGGGUGGUGCCUGUGGUGGAAAACGAUUUUCUAGUGGUUGGGGAUGAGCUCGCGGCCUAUCAGCUUGUUGGUGGGGUAAUGGCCUACCAAGGCGGCGACGGGUAGCCGGCCUGAGAGCGUGGACGGCCACAUUGGGACUGGGAUCCGGCCCAGACUCCUACGGGAGGCAGCGGUGGGGAAUAUUGCACAAUGGGCGGAAGCCUGAUGCAGCGACGCCGCGUGGGGGAUGACGGCCUUCGGGUGGUAAACUCCUUUCGACCGCGAGGAAGCCACCUGGUUGGAAGGGUGGUGACGGUAGUGGUAGAAGAAGCACCGGCUAACUACGUG